rnacentral:rRNA from 1 species
AGAGUUUGAUCAUGGCUCAGGAUGAACGCUGGCGGCGUGCUUAACACAUGCAAGUCGAGCGAAGCACGGAUGAGGAAGUUUUCGGAUGGAAUCAUGCGUGACUGAGCGGCGGACGGGUGAGUAACGCGUGGGGAACCUGCCCUGUACAGGGGGAUAACAGCUGGAAACGGCUGCUAAUACCGCAUAAGCGCACACUGCCGCAUGGCAGAGUGUGAAAAACUCCGGUGGUACAGGAUGGACCCGCGUCUGAUUAGCUUGUUGGCGGGGCAACGGCCCACCAAGGCGACGAUCAGUAGCCGACCUGAGAGGGUGACCGGCCACAUUGGGACUGAGACACGGCCCAAACUCCUACGGGAGGCAGCAGUGGGGAAUAUUGCACAAUGGGGGAAACCCUGAUGCAGCAACGCCGCGUGAGUGAAGGAGUAUUUCGGUAUGUAAAGCUCUAUCAGCAGGGAAGAAGAUGACGGUACCUGCACAAGAAGCCCCGGCUAACUACGUGCCAGCAGCCGCGGUAAUACGUAGGGGGCAAGCGUUAUCCGGAUUUACUGGGUGUAAAGGGAGCGCAGACGGCUGUGCAAGUCUGGAGUGAAAGACUGGGGCUCAACCCCGGAACUGCUUUGGAAACUGUACGGCUGGAGUGCUGGAGAGGCAGGCGGAAUUCCUGGUGUAGCGGUGAAAUGCGUAGAUAUCAGGAGGAACACCAGUGGCGAAGGCGGCCUGCUGGACAGUAACUGACGUUGAGGCUCGAAAGCGUGGGAGCAAACAGGAUUAGAUACCCUGGUAGUCCACGCCGUAAACGA